GACGAACGCUGGCGGCGUGCCUAAUACAUGCAAGUCGAACGAGUGGCGGACGGGUGUGUAAGGUCUGGGAAACUGCCUGAUGGAGGGGGAUAACUACUGGAAACGGUAGCAAAUACCGCAUACCAUCGGGUGUGCCUUGAGUGGUUUAGCUAGUGGGUGGGGUAAAGGCUAACCUAGGCGACGAUCCCUAGCUGGUCUGAGAGGAUGACCAGCCACACUGGAACUGAGACACGGACCAGACUCCUACGGGAGGCAGCAGUGGGGAAUAUUGCACAAUGGGCGCAAGCCUGAUGCAGCCAUGCCGCGUGUAUGAAGAAGGCCGUCGGGUUGUAAAGUCCUUUCGGCGGGGAGGCGUUACCCGCAGAAGAAGCACCGGCUAACUCCGUGCCAGCAGCCGCGGUAAUAC
rnacentral:rRNA from 1 species